rnacentral:lncRNA from 1 species
GUUACAUAAGGUCCAUGAGGGCAGGGAUCCAGAGCCUGACAAAUUAUGGAUAUGCAAUAAAACAUUUUGAGUGAAAAAACAGAAAAGCAUUUAAAUACAGUCAAAGCUACAGAUAACAUGUCUUCCCACAAAGUAGAAAGGGCCUUAGUGAAUGAAUACAGAGAAAGAAUCUGAGCAUGUUGAAAAUUGAAGUGCAAAUCCUUGUACUGGAAAAGGAAUUUCUACUGGGAUUCAAAUUCUGUCUAUCAAAGUCCAUGUUCAUGAAGGCUGGGUACUGUACUGCAUGUAGGAAUACAGUAGUGAACAAGACAGAGCCUCCUCCAUGGUGCUUAUGUUCUAGCAGAGAAGACAAUGAAACAAAUAAUAACAGUAUGAUAACUACAAAGAUGGUGAAUGAAGAGGUUGUGGAAGGUUACAAGGCAAUACAUUUUAAAUUGAAACAAUACCACAGAUCACCUUGGGUUGGUAAACCUGAAUCACUCAAACCUGGGUAUGCAUCAAUUUCUGUAGAGAAAGAAUUAAUGAAUGAAACUGGCCAAACACUGGAUUUUCUUAAGCUAUAAUUUUCAUUAGUACCAUUUGCCUACCCCUCAGGAUGACACUGGACACUAUCCUGCUAGAUAGUUUCUGAAACAUACAAUUAAUGAAAUGAAGACUUUGAUAAUUAUUUCCUUUUUUGGAAACAAACAGUAAUUUUAUCUACA